rnacentral:lncRNA from 1 species
UGGUAACCAGCAGACAGACCUGAGAGAAGCAAGGCUGCAGAGAAACUGUAGCCAUCACCAAACAGCAAAUCAAAGGGAAGUGUCUCAGGAGAGAUUUCUAAUUAUCACACAUUUGUCCUUGCAGCCAAACCAGGAUGCAAUGGAAAUGGUGCCUUUGGCACUAGCAUCUUAGGUCACAAAAUCAGGGACCAGAAUGUAUCCAUGGACUACUUGGGUACUGCAGAAACCAGAGAAUCUGAAGGAUGGACCAGGAGGUGUCCUGGUGAGCAUGCACUCAGGACAAAGGGCACAAGGUCAUUUGGAGAAGUACUUCCCUCAGCCCAGGGAAAAUUCUGCUAACUGGGGAAUGGCAAGUGGAGCAACCUGGAAGCCACUUGUGGAGGUGGCAAAGUCCCCCUCUCACCAAGGACUGCUCACACGUAGACUGGUGUAUAGCAACAACAGUACAUUUAUGUUUACAUAUUGCCAGAAGGACUUCAUACCAGUGCCCAAUGAGUAAGUUGCUUUUACUCAGUAUUCAGUGUUUAUAUGUGAUUAUUUAUGUAUGAGUUGGGGGUUCAUGCUCUUCCAAAAUAGAUAUUAGAAAUAAGCACCUUGAUUUUACAUUAGAUUUAGC